GGAAGGAUCAUUAACACUGUUUGGGUCUCGUGCCCAAUUCAACAACACAACUUGUGAACCCGUUCCCUUUAUUAUUAUAGACAACACCAAAAACUUCAACUAACGUAAUAUACAAAAACCAAAAUACAACUUUUAGCAAUGGAUAUCUUGGUUCCCACAACGAUGAAGAACGCAGCGAAAUGCGAUACGUAAUGCGAAUUGCAGUAUUCGUGAAUCAUCAAAUCUUUGAACGCAAGUUGCGCCCUCGAGAUAGCCUUGAGGGCAUGCCUCUUUGAGUAUCGGUUUAUCAAAAUUUCACUUCGUCGUGAAGUCAAUGGGUCAAUUGCCGCCGUGCGAUUGUCUUCAAGUUGAUUCGCUCCGGCAGUAUUCUUUGUUGAAUCGCGUCGCCGUUUCUUGGAUAACGAGUUAAACGCUUCGCGCCUUGCCGGGCAAAAACUUUUAAACACUACAGAUCUCAAAUGAGGUAAGACUACCCGCUGAAUUUAAGCAUAUAAUUAAGCGGAGGAAAAGAAACUAACAAGGAUGGCAUUAGUAACGGCGAGUGAAGCUGCCAGAGCUCAAACCUGAAAUCUCUGCCUUCGCGGCAGCGAGUUGUGGUCUAUUGAAGCGUGUCUCAGUGGCGGCCCCGGUCUAAAUCAAUUGGAACAUUGUAUCAGAGAGGGUGAGAAUCCCGUCUUUGGCUGGGCGUCCGUCGCGUACGAGCCGUUCUCGAAGAGUCGGAUUGCUUGGGAGUGCAGUCCUAAGUGGGUGGUAAAUUUCAUCUAAAGCUAAAUACCUGUGGGAGACCGAUAGCGAACAAGUACCGUGAGGGAAAGAUGAAAAGAACUUUGAAAAGAGAGUUAAAAAGUACUUGAAAUUGCUGAGAACGAAGGGAUGGCGACUAGUAUUGGCGCGGGUGGCCCCCGUUGGUGUCGGUACGAGACAGGCAGUUUGGAUUGCAUCUGCUUCCACUGUUUGUCCAAGGCCGGAUCGCGGGACUCUGCCACUUGCCGCCUUGAUCAGAAUGGAUUCGUUUCCGUUGAAAUUGCCGCCGGGAAGGUAGCUGUCCGCUUGCGGGCAGAACUUAUAGCCCGGUGGUGUUGAACGGUCGCGGAUUGAGGCGCUGAAACAUUCACUGAGAUUCACCCGUUGCUGUUUGCCGUCCGCGUUUGGGGAACAAAGUUCCGUCUGCGCCGGGCGGUGGCACUCGAUGGGCUGAUCAUCUGUCUGUUCACGAUUCUGAUGAAAUGGUCGUCAUUCACCCGUCUUGAAACACGGACCAAGGAGUCUUACAUCUAUGCGAGUAAUCAAGUGGAAAACUUGUUUGCGAAAUGAAAGUGAAUGAAUGCGACCCGCAAGGGGCAGCAUCGGGCGGCUAAAACAACUGUACGACCAUGAGCAUAUCUGUAGGGACCCGAAAGAUGGUGAACUAUGCUUGAGCAGGAUGAAGCCAGGGGAAACUCUGGUGGAAGUCCGAAGCGAUACUGACGUGCAAAUCGUUCGUCUGACUUGAGUAUAGGGGCGAAAGACUAAUCGAACUAUCUAGUAGCUGGUUCCCUC
rnacentral:misc_RNA from 1 species